UACAGAGGUGGCAAGCGUUGUUCGGAAUUACUGGGCGUAAAGGGCGCGUAGGCGGUUCGUUAAGUCCUGUGUGAAAUCCCCCGGCUCAACUGGGGAACUGCACAGGAAACUAGCGGGCUUGAGUUCGGGAGAGGGAAGCGGAAUUCCGGGUGUAGCGGUGAAAUGCGCAGAUAUCAGGAGGAACACCAGCGGCGAAGGCGGCGCGCUGGGCCGGUACUGACACUGAGGAGCGAAAGCGUGGGUAGCAAACAGG
rnacentral:rRNA from 1 species